rnacentral:rRNA from 1 species
CUACGUGCCAGCAGCCGCGGUAAUACGUAGGGUGCGAGCGUUAAUCGGAAUUACUGGGCGUAAAGCGGGCGCAGACGGUUACUUAAGCAGGAUGUGAAAUCCCCGGGCUCAACCUGGGAACUGCGUUCUGAACUGGGUGACUAGAGUGUGUCAGAGGGAGGUAGAAUUCCACGUGUAGCAGUGAAAUGCGUAGAGAUGUGGAGGAAUACCGAUGGCGAAGGCAGCCUCCUGGGAUAACACUGACGUUCAUGCCCGAAAGCGUGGGUAGCAAACAGGAUUAGAUACCCUGGUAGUCCACGCCCUAAACGAUGUCGAUUAGCUGUUGGGCAGCAUGACUGCUUAGUAGCGAAGCUAACGCGUGAAAUCGACCGCCUGGGGAGUACGGUCGCAAGAUUAAAACUCAAAGGAAUUGACGGGGACCCGCGCAAGCGGUGGAUGAUGUGGAUUAAUUCGAUGCAACGCGAAGAACCUUACCUGGUCUUGACAU